rnacentral:rRNA from 1 species
GAUGAACGCUGGCGGCGUGCCUAACACAUGCAAGUCGAACGGGAAUCUUCGGAUUCCAGUGGCGGACGGGUGAGUAACGCGUAAGAAUCUAACUUCAGGACGGGGACAACAGUUGGAAACGACUGCUAAUACCCGAUAUGCCGCAAGGUGAAACCUAAUUGGCCUGGAGAAGAGCUUGCGUCUGAUUAGCUAGUUGGUGGGGUAAGAGCCUACCAAGGCGACGAUCAGUAGCUGGUCUGAGAGGAUGAGCAGCCACACUGGGACUGAGACACGGCCCAGACUCCCACGGGAGGCAGCAGUGGGGAAUUUUUCCGCAAUGGGCGAAAGCCUGACGGAGCAACGCCGCGUGAGGGAGGAAGGUCUUUGGAUUGUAAACCCCUUUUCUCAAGGAAGAAGUUCUGACGGUACUUGAGGAAUCAGCCUCGGCUAACUCCGUGCCAGCAGCCGCGGUAAU